rnacentral:rRNA from 1 species
GGAGUCUGGGCCGUAUCUCAGUCCCAAUGUGGCCGUUCAACCUCUCAGUCCGGCUACUGAUCGCAGCCUUGGUAGGCCGUUACCCCACCAACUAGCUAAUCAGAUGUGAGCCCAUCUUUCAGCGGAUUGCUCCUUUGGUAUACCGAGGAUGCCCUCAAUAUACAUUAUGCGGUAUUAGCAGCCGUUUCCAACUGUUGUCCCCCUCUGAAAGGCAGGUUGCUCACACAUUACUCACCCGUCCGCCACUAAGUCAAAUCAGAUUUUGACGAAUCUCCAUCCAAAGUGCUUCGUUCGACUUGCAUGUGUUAGGCACGCCGCCAGCGUUCAUC